GUCCACGCCCUAAACGAUGUCGACUGGUUGUUGGGGUUUGACACCCUUAGUAACGUAGCUAACGCGCGAAGUCGACCGCCUGGGGAGUACGGUCGCAAGAUUAAAACUCAAAGGAAUUGACGGGGGCCCGCACAAGCGGUGGAUGAUGUGGAUUAAUUCGAUGCAACGCGAAAAACCUUACCUGGCCUUGACAUGCAUGUAGUAGGAGCUUGAAAGAGCGACGAGGUAGCAAUACCAGCAUGCACAGGUGCUGCAUGGCUGUCGU
rnacentral:rRNA from 1 species